rnacentral:rRNA from 1 species
AACUAACGCUGGCGGCGUGCCUAACACAUGCAAGUCGUACGAGAAAGUCGGCUUCGGCUGAUGAGUAAAGUGGCGCACGGGUGAGUAACGCGUGGAUAAUCUGCCUUUUAGUUGGGAAUAACGUACCGAAAGGUGCGCUAAUACCGGAUAAUACUGAGUAACUACUGUUGCUUAGUCAAAGAAGGCCUCUGUUUACAAGCUUUUGCUGGAAGAUGAGUCCGCGUACCAUUAGCUAGUUGGUAGGGUAAUGGCCAACCAAGGCUACGAUGGUUAGCUGGUCUGAGAGGAUGAUCAGCCACACUGGAACUGAGACACGGUCCAGACUCCUACGGGAGGCAGCAGUGAGGAAUAUUGCGCAAUGGGGGCAACCCUGACGCAGCAACGCCGCGUGAGUGAGGAAGGUUUUCGGACCGUAAAGCUCUGUCGAGUGGGAAGAAAUGUAUCGUGGCUAAUAUCCAUGAUACUUGACGGUACCGCUAAAGGAAGCACCGGCUAACUCCGUGCCAGCAGCCGCGGUAAAAC